rnacentral:tRNA from 1 species
GGAGGGGUGGCAGAGCGGUUGAUUGCACCGGUCUUGAAAACCGGCAUAGGCUAAUACCCUAUCGAGGGUUCGAAUCCCUCCCCCUCCGCCA